CUUACGCCUUCGGGAGCGGAGGUUCAGUGGUCUGGCACCAGUUACAUGGAGGGGGUGUGGUCCUCCUCGUACGGGGUCAGCUGUCCCGCCUCAUGGAGGUACCAGGGGUUUUUGUCAUCUCUGGGUGGAAUGACAUGGGUUCGGUGUUGUAUUUGGUGCUCUUCAAUCUGGACAUGUUGCGCAUUCUGUUUUUCUUCCCAUAGGUUCUCAGGGGCUAGGCUGAGGCGAUCGCCCGUUCCUGUCGGCAGUGCGCUCAGCAAUGUGAGUGCAUUGGUGCGAU